ACGGCUACCUUGUUACGACUUCACCCCAGUCAUGAAUCACACCGUGGUAAACGCCCUCCCGAAGGUUAAGCUAUCUACUUCUGGUGCAACCCACUCCCAUGGUGUGACGGGCGGUGUGUACAAGGCCCGGGAACGUAUUCACCGCAACAUUCUGAUUUGCGAUUACUAGCGAUUCCGACUUCACGGAGUCGAGUUGCAGACUCCGAUCCGGACUACGACGCGCUUUUUGGGAUUCGCUCACUAUCGCUAGCUUGCAGCCCUCUGUACGCGCCAUUGUAGCACGUGUGUAGCCCUGGCCGUAAGGGCCAUGAUGACUCGACGUCAUCCCCACCUUCCUCCGGUUUAUCACCGGCAGUCUCCCUUGAGUUCCCACCAUUACGUGCUGGCAACAAAGGACAGGGGUUGCGCUCGUUG
rnacentral:rRNA from 1 species